rnacentral:rRNA from 1 species
GAUGAACGCUGGCGGCGUGCCUAAUACAUGCAAGUCGAGCGAUCAGACGAGUUGCUUUCUCCUCUGACGUUAGCGGCGGACGUGUUAGUAACACGUGUGUAACCUCCCUAUAAAACUGGGAUCACUUCGUUUAACCGUAGCUAAUACCGGCUACUAUAUUAAACCGCAUGGUUCAAUAGUUAAAGCCGGUUUUGCUGUCACUUAUAGAUGGAUCCGCGCCGCAUUAGCUAGUUGGUCAGGUAACGGCUUACCAAGGCAACGAUGCGUAGCCGCCCUGAGAGGGUGAUCGGCCACACUGGAACUGAGACACGGUCCAGACUCCUACGGGAGGCAGCAGUAGGGAAUCUUCCGCAAUGGGCGAAAGCCUGACGGAGCAACGCCGCGUGAGUGAUGAAGGUCUUCGGAUCGUAAACCGCUGUUAUAAGGGAAGAAAAAAUGUGUAAGUAACUAUGAACGUCUUGACGGUACCGAAACAGAAAGCCACGGCUAACUACGUG